UACGGAGGGAGCUAGCGUUGUUCGGAAUUACUGGGCGUAAAGCGCACGUAGGCGGCGAUUCAAGUCAGAGGUGAAAGCCCGGGGCUCAACCCCGGAACUGCCUUUGAAACUAGAUUGCUAGAAUCCUGGAGAGGUGAGUGGAAUUCCGAGUGUAGAGGUGAAAUUCGUAGAUAUUCGGAAGAACACCCGUGGCGAAGGCGGCUACUCUGGAACGCAACUGACGCUGAGACGCGAAAGCGUGGGGAGCAAACAGG
rnacentral:rRNA from 1 species